GACGAACGCUGGCGGCGUGCUUAACACAUGCAAGUCGAACGAAGUGGCGAACGGGUGAGUAACGCGUAAUCAACCUGCCCUUCAGAGGGGGACAACAGUUGGAAACGACUGCUAUUACCGCAUACUGAAGGAGGGGAUUGCGUCGGAUUAGCUAGGUGGAGGGGUAACGGCCCACCAAGGCGAUGAUCAGUAGCCGGGCUGAGAGGAUGAACGGCCACAUUGGCACUGAGAAACGGCCCAGCAUCCUACGGGAGGCAGCAGUGGGGAAUCUUCCGCAAUGGACGAAAGUCUGACGGAGCAACGCCGCGUGAGUGAUGACGGCCUGCGGGUUGUAAAGCUCUGUUAAUCGGGACGCGGUACCGGAAUAGAAAGCCACGGCUAACUACGUGCCAGCAGCCGCGGUAAUAC
rnacentral:rRNA from 1 species